CCUACGGGUGGCAGCAGUGGGGGAUAUUGCACAAUGGGGGAAACCCUGAAGCAGCGACGCCGCGUGUGGGAAGACGGUCCUCUGGAUUGUAAACCACUUUCCCCAGGGACGAAAAUGACGGUCCCUUGGCAGGAAGCUCCGGCGAACUACGUGCCAGCCGCCGCGGUACUACGGAGGGAGCUAGCGUUGUCCGGAAUUACUGGGUGUAAAGGGAGUGUAGGCGGGGAUGAAAGUUGGGUGUCAAAAGUACCGGCUCAACUGGUAGUCGCAGUUCAAACUGCAGCUCUUGAGUGAGGUAGAGGCAGGCGGAAUUCGUGGUGUAGCGGUGAAAUGCAUAGAUAUUAGGAAGAACACCAGUGGCGAAGGCAGCCUGCUGGGCUUUUACUGACGCUGAGGCUCGAAAGUGUGGGGAGCAAACAGGAUUAGAUACCCCUGUAGUC
rnacentral:rRNA from 1 species